AUCCAGCUGACGAGUCCCAAAUAGGACGAAACACACGAUCUGGAU
rfam:Schistosoma mansoni strain Puerto Rico chromosome 3, complete genome